rnacentral:rRNA from 1 species
CCUACGGGUGGCAGCAGUAGGGAAUUUUCGUCAAUGGGCGCAAGCCUGAACGAGCAAUGCCGCGUGAACGAGGAAGGUCUUCGGAUCGUAAAGUUCUUUUUAAGAGGAAAAAGAGCGUAGAGAGGAAAUGCUUUCUGAUUGAUAUUACCCUUCGAGGACGUCACGGCUAACUACGUGCCAGCAGCCGCUGUAAUACGUAGGUGGCGAGCGUUAUCCGGAAUGAUUGGGCGUAAGGGGUGCGUAGGCGGCCUGCUAAGUCUUGGGUGAAAGGUACCGGCUCAACCGGUACAGGCUCUGGAAACUGGCGGGAUAGAGAGCAGGAGAGGGCGGUGGAAUUCCAGGUGUAGCGGUAAAAUGAGUAGAUAUAUGGAAGAACACCAGUGGCGAAGGCGGCCGCCUGGCCUGUUACUGACGCUGAGGCACGAAAGCGUGUGGAGCAAAUAGGAUUAGAUACCCCUGUAGUC